rnacentral:rRNA from 1 species
AGCUGAGUUGGAUCCUGCUCAGAUUGAACGCUGGCGGCAUGCUUUACACAUGCAAGUCGAACGGUAACAGGGUGCUUGCACCGCUGACGAGUGGCGAACGGGUGAGUAAUAUAUCGGAACGUACCUAGUAAUGGGGAUAACUAUCCGAAAGGAUGGCUAAUACCGCAUACGCCCUGAGGGGUAAGAGGGGAUCGGCGAGACCUCUUGUUAUUAGAGCGGCCGAUAUCAGAUUAGCUAGUUGGUGGGGUAAGAGCCUACCAAGGCGACGAUCAGUAGCUGGUCUGAGAGGAUGAGCAGCCACACUGGGGACUGAGACAC